GCGCGGCCGUCGCACCUGCACGAGGCUGUGGCCCGAGCGUCCUGUGGAGAAGCCGCGAAGCGCGGGCGACCCGGGGGUCGGGCGGGCCAGGUCCGCGAGGCCGCGGCGGCAGCUGUGCAGGCCCGGGGAGCAGCCGGCCGGGCGAGCCUCGG
rnacentral:misc_RNA from 1 species